AGGGUCGCGCCGGCCCCCGCGAUCGGAGGUACCGCCGUGUAACGGGGCUGCCAUUAAAGUGCGGCCUGAACGAGGCGGGGCUGGGCGGGGAGGCCGCGCGUCGGGCGCUGUUGGUGUAAGAGAGUUGCGCUGGGCGCUGCCCAGGCCCUGUUUCAAACGCGUCUCUAGAGGUACCAAACCCCUCGGAAAGCGGGAGGAGGCGAGUUCCACAACCCCCUGCUCCAAGCCGGCCUUACCAGACCUGCUCCAGCACUGAAGCACUUGGCUCCUAGAGCGUCUCCAACACCUGAAAUCUUGACAUGAGACUGAAAAACAAAGGAGAGGCUUUACCGUGUUCCUGUAAGCGAGUCUUCCCUUAGAGCCGUCUUGUUCUUGAGCAAGGGCUUGGCGAAGCUGUGCUGCAAAGAGACAUCACAGUAUCUGUGCCAGCCUGGACACUCCUACGCGAGUCAGUUGUGUUUUCCAAAACAGAUCUGGUAAAUACUUACUUAGCAUGAGCUUAAUUAUUCUAUGCUCUCCUCCUGAUUGCAAUACCAAAGGCAGUGUUAGAUGUACCGCUUAAUUUAUUCUGUUUAAAAUAAAUAAAAAGGAGGCAGAAACAAGA